GGAGGGUAAGCGAACGGCUAGCGGUCUGACUCGAAAUCAGAUGCCCCGAAAGGGGUUGCGGGUUCGAAUCCCGUGCCCUCCGC
rnacentral:tRNA from 1 species